ACGGAAGUCUGAUGCAGCGACGCCGCGUGGAUGAAGAAGGCCCUCGGGUUGUAAAAUCCUUUACAGGGGGAAGAGGAAGGACGGUACCCCUGGAACAAGUGUCGGCUAACUACGUGCCAGCAGCCGCGGUAAGACGUAGGACACAAGCGUAAUCCGGAUUUACUGGGCGUAAAGCGUCUGCAGGCGGACAGGUAAGUUGGGCGUGAAAGCUCCGGGCCCAACCCGGAGAGGUCGUUCAAUACUGCGUGUCUAGAGGGUGUCAGAGGGGAGUGGAAUUUUCCGGAGUAGCGGUAAAAUGCGCAGAGAUCGGAAAGAACACCAAUGGCGAAGGCAGCUCCCUGGGGCAACCCUGACGCUAAGAGACGAAAGCUAGGGGAGCGAACAGGAUUAGAGACCCUGGUAGUCCUAGCCCUAAACGAUGGAUGCUGGAUGUGGGGCCAUAGCGCUCCGUGUCGAAGCGAACGCGUUAAGCAUCCCGCCUGGGGACUACGGCCGCAAGGUUAAAACUCAGACGAAUUGACGGGACCCCGCACAAGCAGCGGAGCGUGUGGUUUAAUUCGAUGCUACACGAAGAACCUUACCUGGGUUUGACAUCUAGGUGGUUAGUGAAGCGAAAGCGGAGCGACCCUUCGGGGAGCCUAGACAGGUGCUGCAUGGCUGUCGUCAGCUCGUGCCGUGAGGUGUCGGGUUAAGUCCCGUAACGAGCGCAACCCUUGCCCUCCGGUUUAUACGUGUCAGAGGGGACUGCCGGCGGUAAGCCGGAGGAAGGUGGGGAUGACGUCAAGUCAGCAUGGCCUUUAUAUCCAGGGCUACACACACGCUACAAUGGCCAGUACAAAGGGCAGCGAAGCCGCGAGGUGGAGCGAAUCCCAGCAAAGCUGGUCGUAGUUCGGAUUGCAGGCUGCAACCCGCCUGCAUGAAGCUGGAGUUGCUAGUAACCGCGCGUCAGCCAUAGUGCGGUGAUACGUUCCCGGGGUUUGUACACACCGCCCGUCACGUCAUGGGAGUCGAUAACGCCUGAAGCCGGUGGCCUAGCUCGGAAG
rnacentral:rRNA from 1 species